CCGCAGCAAGGUCACACAAAGCCGUGCAAAGUGGAGCAGACAAGUAAACCUCCUCCAGUAAGAGAUGAAACAUGUCCGAGGUGCGAGGACGGCUGGGAGCCACAUGGAGGAAAGUGCUACUUCUUCUCCUCGGUUACUUUAACCUGGAAUCAGAGUAGAACAGAAUGCAGAUCAAUGAGAGGAGACCUGGUUGUGAUAAACAACAAAGAGGAGCAGAGAUUCCUGGUGUCUAGUCUGAGAGGAAAAAUGG